rnacentral:rRNA from 1 species
AUGGAGAUCGAAUGGAGCAAUGUCGGGGCCGUCGGGGCCUGCGUUGGAGCUUUUGCUGCAUGCGCUACAUGGUGCUGCCAUGGACUUCUAAUGGAGCAAAGCCUUGGGCCGUCGGUGCUUUGCGUUGGAGCUUUUGUUGUGCUACGCCUGCACAGUGCUGCCAUGGAGUCCAAUGGAGAAUCGCUGAAACCAGCACUCAUCCGACAUUACAAAGGUUGGGAAGACACGCAAGUGUUGAUAUUUUUUUAUUUGGUUCGUGGGAAGGUCUCUAAAGAAAGUGCAGACAGCAGGAGAGCCAUGACUGUGUAG